rnacentral:lncRNA from 10 species
GGGAAUGGUCCUUAUGCCCCAGGAGAGCCUCAAGGGCUGUGCACACCCUGCAAUGCAGGCACACCCCCUUCCACCCUCUGAAUGCUCUGCCACAAACAGCCACUGCGAGCGUAAUGAAGCCCCCAAAACAGGGAGCCCUGUGACUCACCACUGCUGCUUCAGGGACAGGGACAACUGCCAGAAUUCUUAGCUCUCUUUUACAGAUGG